rnacentral:rRNA from 1 species
UACGUAGGUGACAAGCGUUGUCCGGAUUUACUGGGCGUAAAGAGCGCGCAGGCGGUCGUUCAAGUCGAGUGUGAAAGCCCCCGGCUCAACUGGGGAGGGUCAUUCGAUACUGAUCGACUCGAAGGCAGGAGAGGGUAGUGGAAUUCCCGGUGUAGUGGUGAAAUGCGUAGAUAUCGGGAGGAACACCAGUGGCGAAGGCGGCGACCUGGGCCAAUACUGACGCUGAGGUGCGAAAGCGUGGGGAGCAAACAGG